rnacentral:rRNA from 1 species
UACGUAGGGGGCCAGCGUUGUCCGGAAUCAUUGGGCGUAAAGCGCGCGUAGGCGGUCAGGUAAGUCCGGUGUGAAAGUCCAGGGCUCAACCCUGGGAUGCCGGUCGAUACUGCCGGACUAGAGUUCGGAAGAGGCGAGUGGAAUUCCCGGUGUAGCGGUGAAAUGCGCAGAUAUCGGGAGGAACACCUAUGGCGAAGGCAGCUCGCUGGGACGUUACUGACGCUGAGACGCGAAAGCGUGGGGAGCAAACAGG